ensembl:lncRNA
CCAUUGUUGAACUGCGCCGGAAUUGUUCAUGCACAACGGCACUGAAUGCCAUGGACAAAUCCCGCCAAUGGAACCCGGAAGCGUGAUAAUCCCCUAUUGGCUAGUUGCGUAAGAUGGCGGUCUACAACCCCCGGUUAGAGGAAGGAUCUUCCCGGAGUAACAAUUAAUGAUGUUCAACGCAUCAUUCAGGCUGCGACAUCAGCACCAAGGAGUAAGCGAGAGAAGGGCUUCAAAAUGUUCAUCUCCACUUCUUACAUUGAUAAUUACGAAGAUUGUCCUUGAGGACUCCUCCCCUGUGCAGAUGAAUGAUGCAGAGUGUUCAUGUGUGGCUGGAACAGCACUGUGCAACCAUAAUGUUGCACUGCUGUUCCAGACUGCACACUACUCUCAGCUGAACAUUGCUGCUGUUCCCCCAGUCCUGAGUUGUACAGAGACAGAGCAACUCUGGCACAAGCCAAGAAUUAUGGGAACUAAUCAGUUACAGUCGUCAAACCACAUGACCCCCUGGUGACAGGUCUGUUGUUUGAGGCAGAACAACAUGGAUUCCUCCUCCUUUCUUCU